UGAGGACAUUAAGGUAGCAUAAUCAAUUGUUUAAUAAAUUUAAACUAGAAUGAAAGGAGUAAAGAAAGUUUACUAUUAACAUGUAAUCAACAGAAAUUAUAACUAAGGUGAAAAUUCCCUACAGCAAUCUUAAAACGAGAAGACCCUAGAAACUAAUAAUCACAACCUUUUUUGGGAUAAAACCUUAAAAUAAAAGAAUCAACAUCCUUUAAAAUAAAAUAGUUACUCUAGGGAUAACAGCACAAUAAAAGUUAAGAGAACUAAUCUACCCUUUAGAUUGUGACCUCGAUGUUGAAUCAAGAAUUACCGGUUGUAGAAGACCAGCAAGUUUCGUCUGUUCGACGACACAUAAAUACGUGAUUUGAGUUUAAACCGUCGCAAGACAGGUUGGAUUCUCUUUAAGACUGCAACAUUCAACCAUUAUAAGUACGAAAGGACCAUUGU
rnacentral:rRNA from 1 species